GGAGAGGUGCCCGAGAGGCCGAAGGGGCAUGAUUGGAAAUCAUGUGUACUCGUAAGGGUACCGUGGGUUCGAAUCCCACCCUCUCCG
rnacentral:tRNA from 1 species